rnacentral:rRNA from 1 species
UACGGGGGGGGCAAGCGUUGUUCGGAAUUACUGGGCGUAAAGGGCUCGUAGGCGGCCAACUAAGUCGGAUGUGAAAUCCCCAGGCUUAACCUGGGAACUGCAUCCGAUACUGGAUGGCUUGAAUCCGGGAGAGGGAUGUGGAAUUCCAGGUGUAGCGGUGAAAUGCGUAGAUAUCUGGAGGAACAUCGGUGGCGAAGGCGGCAUCCUGGACCGGUAUUGACGCUGAGGCGCGAAAGCCAGGGGAGCAAACGGGG